GACGAACCGUGCGAACGUUAUUCGGAAUCACUGGGCUUAAAGCGCGCGUAGGCGGGCGACCGCGUCGAGUGCUGAAAUCCCCCGGCUCAACCGGGGAACGGGCCUCGAAACGGGUCGCCUGGAGGGGCGUAGGGGGACCGUGGAACUCCCGGUGGGAGCCGGUGGAAAAUCGGCGUUGAGAUCGGGAAGGAACGCCCGUGGCGAAAGGCGGAAGGUCCUGGACGCCGGCCUGACGCUGAGGCGCGAAAGCCAGGGGAGCGGAACGGG
rnacentral:rRNA from 1 species